AAAAUAAAAUGAAUAUAACAUUUAUAUAGAGUUAUAAUAAUUGAUUUUGCUUUUACUUGCAAUGUUUAAAAACAUUUCCCGACGGAGAAAUGCAAAACAACGGUAUAUUUAUUCUUAGUUGCAAAACUACAACGGGAUAUGGGCGUUGAACUUGUCCAUUGGUUAAGAAUAGACAUUGCGUCGCAGAAUUUCUAUUCGGGACUUACCUGAAGAGAAAAAUAUUGAUUUUCAAUAUAAUUACGUAAAUGGCCAUUUUCCAUGAGAAGAAAUCAAUAUCAUCAUAAGAAUCAAUCAACAUUGCCAAAAAUUCUCAGAACAAUGGUAAAGAAGCGCUAAGGAAAGAUGAGAGCCCUGGUGAGAGAACGCCUAUGCCACUCGACCGUUCACUUUUUCUAAAAUUGGUCACAGACAGCCGGAUCUUGCCUAAGGAAAGCAGUAAAUCGCGACGAUCCUCUCUUCUGGAAGAGAUCUGCAGGGUGGGGCACAGUACAUUGCCAGAGAAAAUAAAUAACUCAUCCAAUAUAUAAUAUAUAUCAAUGAUAUCAAUGAUGAUGAUGAUGAUAAUAUAAAUGAUGACAUCAAGAAUGGAUAUCUACAAGGACAAAGGAAACUAAUUUAGGCUAAGGAUUAUUUUUUAAUAGAAUAAACACUUAUAUUAGUUGUAUAUACUUGCUUAGUAAUAUAUAGAGUGCCUAUAACGUAUAUUUCUGAGAACAAAUAAAUCACAUAUAAUUUACAAAAAGGAACUUGACGCGGCGCUUAAUAUUGCUCUUAUCGUCGGAUAAUGACAAGGUAUUUAUUAUCUAUAGGCAUACGAAUUUUUCAUUCACUUUUUUCUUUCCGAAGAAUCAACAUUAUGAACGUGUACAUCUGUGAAAGAAACUUCAAGUUUAUCGUAUUUCUUUUUAAUUAAUUCCAAUUAACAUAGGCCUUAUUCAUUGUUAUCGGACAAUAGAAAAAGAACAUGAAGAUAAGAAUAUAUUAUUAUAUCAUCUUUCUUUUUAAUUCUCCAUGCACCAUCGAGAAAAUUAUACACCGGGCAGUGAAAUACGUAGAAAAAUUGGCAAAAAUUUUGAAAAUUUAAUAAUAAUAUUGUUCCUUAUUCUCGAACAAUAUUUUUAGCCAUUAAAGAUUAAUCUUUCACAUGUCAUUUUUUUCCUUAAACAGUGUACAAAGAAUAACGUUUCAUGCCAGAAACACGAGUAUUUCGAUGAAUUCGAUAGGAUACGUCUUCGAUCUUAAAUUUAAUCUCUUUCUCAUCGUUUAUCUGCAAGUUUAAUACGAAGUGACCAAAAUAUCGCAACUCCAGAGUAUUAUUAUCUACGAUAAAUUUAUUAAAGAUUUCUAUUUGCUCUAGCUGAACUUUCACGGUGUACCAAUAAUUUGUAUCGAAUACUAUUGUCUAGUUUAUGUCAAUUCAACGUAUGCCUAACAAUACGUCAAUUUGGAAUUAUUUCAUUCCUCAACAAAUUCAUAAACACCUAAUUAUUCGAGAUAUUUUUAAAUAUUUAUUGUUCUGAGACGCACAGACGAAAGUACAGAGCCUGAGAACCAUCAAAAAUCCAUGAAUUCACACGAUAGCGAGACAUUUCAUUUUUUUUUUUCUUUUUUUUUUCGUCGUCGAUCCUAUGACUACGAUAUAAAACGGCACGACGUCUACAUCUAAAAACUUUUAUCUAUGUACAAUAAACGCUUGGCGGGAUCCUCGUGAAAAGAAACGUCGAUCGAAAUCGGUCGUCGUAAUUCGAGGUUCGCCGUAAGACUUCUAUCGCUGAUUUUUUUCAGGAUCGAUCAGCGCUAUAACUAAAAUUUACAUCUAGAUUAUUUCAAGUUAUUUGCAUUUGAGUUGUCGUUUGGAAGGUUUCCAUCAAAUAGGUUCGAGCGAAAAAUUUCUCGUCAUUUUUUUUCUUUCUCCAUUCAACUUUAAAACACGACUCUCGUUCUACAUUCCUGUAUGGCGAUAUUAAAACUAUUCGUCCACAUAUACGAUUUGAAAGAAACGUUUCGAAAAAUAUAAAUGUCCAUAAAAAAAAAA